AUGCUAGCUUCGUCAGCACAUAUACUAAGAUUGGAACAAUACAGAGAUGAUUAACAUGGCCCCUGUGCAAGGAUGACGCGCAAAUUCGUGAAACGUUCUAUAUUUUU